ACGAACGCUGGCGGCGCGCCUAACACAUGCAAGUCGAACGGAGCUGAGAGAAGCUUGCUUUUCUUAGCUUAGUGGCGAACGGGUGAGUAACGCGUGAGUAACCUGCCCUGGAGUGGGGGACAACAGUUGGAAACGACUGCUAAUACCGCAUAAGCCCACGAUCCGGCAUCGGAUUGAGGGAAAAGGAUUUAUUCGCUUCGGGAUGGACUCGCGUCCAAUUAGCUAGUUGGUGAGGUAACGGCCCACCAAGGCGACGAUUGGUAGCCGGACUGAGAGGUUGAACGGCCACAUUGGGACUGAGACACGGCCCAGACUCCUACGGGAGGCAGCAGUGGGGGAUAUUGCACAAUGGGGGAAACCCUGAUGCAGCGACGCCGCGUGGAGGAAGAAGGUUUUCGGAUUGUAAACUCCUGUCGUUAGGGACGAUAAUGACGGUACCUAACAAGAAAGCACCGGCUAACUACGUG
rnacentral:rRNA from 1 species